rnacentral:lncRNA from 1 species
GCCGCCGCCUCUGCCGCCGCGACGGUCCGGGCCGCGGUCGCCCAGGGACUUUGAAUAUGUCGGGGAUUGCCCUCAGCCGACUUGCGCAGGAGAGGAAAGCCUGGAGGAAGGACCACCCUUUUGUAAGGAGCAGCCUGUGUCUGGUCACAGGAGGGGCUUUCCGUUGACUUGGUAUACUCAGCCUGUGGCCACUGGGUGAGAGCCAGGCUUGUUGUCUUGAGCUGGUUUGUUUUGUGACUUCUUUCUCAGGGCUUUGUGGCUGUCCCAACAAAGAACCCUGAUGGCACGAUGAACCUGAUGAACUGGGAGUGUGCUAUCCCUGGAAAGAAGGGG